UACAGAGGGUGCUAGCGUUGUUCGGAAUCAUUGGGCGUAAAGGGCGUGUAGGCGGUUUGUUAAGUCAUGUGUGAAAUCCCUCGGCUCAACCGGGGAACGACGCAUGAACUGGCAAGCUAGAGUACCAAAGAGGGGGGGGUGGAAUUCCCGGUGUAGCGGUAAAUGCGUAGAUAUCGGGAGGAACACCUGUGGCGAAGGCGGCCCCCUGGUUGGAUACUGACGCUGAUACGCGAAGCGUGGGAGCAACAGG
rnacentral:rRNA from 1 species